rnacentral:rRNA from 1 species
UACGUAGGGUGCGAGCGUUAAUCGGAAUUACUGGGCGUAAAGCGUGCGCAGGCGGUUGUGUAAGACAGAUGUGAAAUCCCCGGGCUUAACCUGGGAAUUGCAUUUGUGACUGCAUGGCUAGAGUGUGUCAGAGGGGGGUAGAAUUCCACGUGUAGCAGUGAAAUGCGUAGAGAUGUGGAGGAAUACCGAUGGCGAAGGCAGCCCCCUGGGACAAGACUGACGCUCAUGCACGAAAGCGUGGGGAGCAAACAGG